UAGGAUGGAAACUGUGAAAUGUUUACACUGUAUGAUUAUGACACAACCAGAUGUUGAAUGAAAUAUGAUCAAAAUGAAGAGUUGUGAAAGUGUACGGCGAGAGGUAAUCAUUUAAAGCAUUUACGUAGAUAGGGGAAAGUGUUGGCAGCUCUUUAGUGAUGUACAGCUCCUGUCAGAGUUUUAGCUUGAAUCACAAGUUAACUAUGAACUUUUAAUGGGAUUUUUUUUUUUUUUUAUCAUUAAUUUUUUGCGGGGAGGGAAUUAUUACACAAAUUCAAUGACAGAGUUAGAUGCACACAUUUGACAUUACUGUGGAUUUCCUCUAAUCCAGAUGGGGCCCAACAGAUUAUUAUCACUUGAUUAUUUGAGUCACGUGUAUUGAGGCAAGAGACAAGUCUCAUAGUAGCUGGACGCUAUCCCUCAGGGACUGGAUUUGAAGGCCCCUGCUCUACAUACACCCAAACAAGUCUAUUGUACAGUAAUCAGCCAAAGUUAAGCGUAUGGCAUACAUUUCACAGGAUGUUUUUCUUUUUACAUGCAGCAUUUUAAAUCCACUGUUUUCCUGGCACAAACUGCACAUUUAAUCGCAGUCCAAAAUUUUUCAACAGAGCCUUUUUAGAGGUAUCCAUUCAAAUAGAAGCACCAAUUCUGUAAAAAUUAGAGUGUCUAGCUGUUUGACAUUAAGCCAAACAAUUGAUUAUUCUUAUUGAAUAAUCAUUAAGAUCUUGAUUAUUCUAUUCCAUUCCAGAUUUGUUCAUAAAGCACUUUAAAAACAACACAGUUGACUAAAGUUCAGCACACCCCAACCUGGUGCAUUACCACUGGUACUCAGCACAAUGUUGCCACCACCACCACUUGACAGUUGUUCCUCUUUAACAAGUUAAACCAGCAAUUCUGACAGUUUUGAGUGUUUCUACUAUCUCCUCCCAACUGUGGUGAGUCUUACAAAGAAUCAAGCGCACCCGUCCAAUAUAGAUUUGGCUGCUUUAUCUUAGCAGCCAAAUCUAUAAGGUAACCCUGCUCACAUGCGCUCACACAGCAAUCUCUCGUCAAAGAAUUUCAGCUAAAAGCUUCCAAAAGACGCCACCAGUAGGAAAUGGGCAUUAUUCAACGUUUACAGGAUUCAAAUUAUCAACCCACUCAUAUUGGCUAGUCAUAGACUGCUCCUGUUGCACUUCUGGUGAGAUUCAUCCAAAAAGAAACGAUGAAUAAAGAAAUGUCACUGA